AUCGACACUUUGAACGCAUAUUGCGGGCCUGUGCUUGUAACAGGCCCACCCUUGUGUCAGGGUCGGUUAUAACAUCCAUCAGGACAACUUGUGUGUUGUCCUGCGUUGUCUCCGCACGGCUGCUCUAACAGGCGGCUGGGAGGUUAAAGUGUGACUAAGACUGUAUAGUCUUUCAACUCUUGGGUUGUGUUCGGCACCCGGGUUGAUACGACUGUUGCGUCUGUGACACUGGCAUGUGAGCCGAGCGCUGGAGAAGCGGCUCUCUCGUUGCCAACUCAGUACAUUUUUCGACCUGAUAUCAAGGGAGGC
rnacentral:sRNA from 1 species